rnacentral:tRNA from 1 species
GUUGUAGUUCAAUGGUAGAGUGCUUGCCUAGCACAUGUGAGACACUGGGUUCAAUCCUCAGUACAACA